rnacentral:rRNA from 1 species
AUGAAGGUCAUGGAGAUGCACAGAAGCAGCGCCAGAGCCGCUAGGGUCGCCAUUCCCACCGGCGCCGCCAAGUUGAGCGCUUCGUAUCGUCGUCUCCUGCGCGCAUCCGUCCACUUCUUCGUUUCCCAGCUUUUGGCCCAGCUGGGUCUGUACAAGAGCAAGGAGGAGGCCGCCAGGCAAGAAGAGGUGCUGGGGAAGCUUGACAAGAUUGUGAAAGAGUGGGUUAAGGAGUUGGCUAUUCAGAGAGGCCAAGUCAACGCAAAUGUCGUGCUUUUCACCUUCAGGUCAUACCAUCUAGGGGUAAUGUACAUGCUUUGCGUUGCUUAUUUUGGAAUCAGCGCUGUUCUAGAGAAUAGGUAA